rnacentral:rRNA from 1 species
GAAGGUGGCCUGUGAGGGUUGCUGGAGGUAUCAGAAGUGCGAAUGCUGACAUAAGUAACGAUAAAGCGGGUGAAAAGCCCGCUCGCCGGAAGACCAAGGGUUCCUGUCCAACGUUAAUCGGGGCAGGGUGAGUCGACCCCUAAGGCGAGGCCGAAAGGCGUAGUCGAUGGGAAACGGGUUAAUAUUCCCGUACUUGGUGUUACUGCGAAGGGGGGACGGAGAAGGCUAUGUUGGCCGGGCGACGGUUGUCCCGGUUUAAGCGUGUAGGUGUGUGUUCCAGGUAAAUCCGGUUCACUUUAACACUGAGGCGUGAUGACGAGGCACUACGGUGCUGAAGCAACAAAUGCCCUGCUUCCAGGAAAAGCCUCUAAGCAUCAGGUAACAUCAAAUCGUACCCCAAACCGACACAGGUGGUCAGGUAGAGAAUACCAAGGCGCUUGAGAGAACUCGGGUGAAGGAACUAGGCAAAAUGGUGCCGUAACUUCGGGAGAAGGCACGCUGACACGUAGGUGAAGUGAUUUACUCACGGAGCUGAAGUCAGUCGAAGAUACCAGCUGGCUGCAACUGUUUAUUAAAAACACAGCACUGUGCAAACACGAAAGUGGACGUAUACGGUGUGACGCCUGCCCGGUGCCGGAAGGUUAAUUGAUGGGGUCAGCGCAAGCGAAGCUCCUGAUCGAAGCCCCGGUAAACGGCGGCCGUAACUAUAACGGUCCUAAGGUAGCGAAAUUCCUUGUCGGGUAAGUUCCGACCUGCACGAAUGGCGUAAUGAUGGCCAGGCUGUCUCCACCCGAGACUCAGUGAAAUUGAACUCGCUGUGAAGAUGCAGUGUACCCGCGGCAAGACGGAAAGACCCCGUGAACCUUUACUAUAGCUUGACACUGAACAUUGAGCCUUGAUGUGUAGGAUAGGUGGGAGGCUUUGAAGUGUGGACGCCAGUCUGCAUGGAGCCGACCUUGAAAUACCACCCUUUAAUGUUUGAUGUUCUAACGUGGACCCGUGAUCCGGGUUGCGGACAGUGUCUGGUGGGUAGUUUGACUGGGGCGGUCUCCUCCUAAAGAGUAACGGAGGAGCACGAAGGUUGGCUAAUCCUGGUCGGACAUCAGGAGGUUAGUGCAAUGGCAUAAGCCAGCUUGACUGCGAGCGUGACGGCGCGAGCAGGUGCGAAAGCAGGUCAUAGUGAUCCGGUGGUUCUGAAUGGAAGGGCCAUCGCUCAACGGAUAAAAGGUACUCCGGGGAUAACAGGCUGAUACCGCCCAAGAGUUCAUAUCGACGGCGGUGUUUGGCACCUCGAUGUCGGCUCAUCACAUCCUGGGGCUGAAGUAGGUCCCAAGGGUAUGGCUGUUCGCCAUUUAAAGUGGUACGCGAGCUGGGUUUAGAACGUCGUGAGACAGUUCGGUCCCUAUCUGCCGUGGGCGCUGGAGAACUGAGGGGGGCUGCUCCUAGUACGAGAGGACCGGAGUGGACGCAUCACUGGUGUUCGGGUUGUCAUGCCAAUGGCACUGCCCGGUAGCUAAAUGCGGAAGAGAUAAGUGCUGAAAGCAUCUAAGCACGAAACUUGCCCCGAGAUGAGUUCUCCCUGAGACUUUAGGUCUCCUGAAGGAACGUUGAAGACGACGACGUUGAUAGGCCGGGUGUGUAAGCGCAGCGAUGCGUUGAGCUAACCGGUACUAAUGAACCGUGAGGCUUAACCUUACAACGCCGAAG